rnacentral:rRNA from 1 species
UACGUAGGGUGCGAGCGUUGUCCGGAAUUACUGGGCGUAAAGAGCUCGUAGGUGGUUUGUCGCGUUGUCCGUGAAAACUCACAGCUCAACUGUGGGCGUGCGGGCGAUACGGGCAGACUGGAGUACUGCAGGGGAGACUGGAAUUCCUGGUGUAGUGGUGAAAUGCGUAGAGAUCAGGCAGAACACCAGUGGCGAAGGCGGCUCACUGGCCCGAUACUGACGCUGAGGCACGAAAGCGUGGGGAA